GCGUGGCGCAAGGAUAGCGCGUCUGGCUGCAGAUCAGAAGGUUGCAUGUUCGAAUCACGUCUGGCGCA